rnacentral:rRNA from 2 species
GAGUUUGAUCAUGGCUCAGGAUGAACGCUGGCGGCGUGCUUAACACAUGCAAGUCGAGCGAGAGCUAUCAAUUGGAGGGCUUCGGUUCAAAGAGAGAUAAGGAAAGCGGCGGACGGGUGCGUAACGCGUAGGUAAUCUGCCCAUAUCAUCGGGAUAACACAACGAAAGAUGUGCUAAUACCGAAUAAAAUACAUUUAUGGCAUCGUAGAUGUAUCAAAGUGUUAGCGGAUAUGGAUGAGCCUGCGUCUGAUUAGCUAGUUGGUGGGGUAAAGGCCUACCAAGGCAACGAUCAGUAGCCGACCUGAGAGGGUGAUCGGCCACACUGGAACUGAGACACGGUCCAGACUCCUACGGGAGGCAGCAGUGGGGAAUAUUGCACAAUGGGCGAAAGCCUGAUGCAGCAACGCCGCGUGAACGAAGAAGGCCUUCGGGUCGUAAAGUUCUGUU